GAGAAAAAGACAAAAGGAUGUCUUUAGGUGUCCAGGGAAUCUUCAGACUUUUGCACUAUGGCUUCAAACCCUGUGAUCAGUGGAUUCUACCUAUUCCAGCAGAAGUUUUGGUCAGGGCAGCAAUAUAUGGGAGGAUGUCCCAUUGCAAUUUAUGGUUCUCAGCAGUGAUGGCACAGUGCCUGUACCUGUCUGGUUCCAGGUCACAGGUGCUUAGAACAUGUUUGAUCUCCUCCAGAAGACAAGGAGUACCCCACAGCCACCUGAAUUUCAUCCACUCUGGCAUCUGCUGGAACAUCUGGUGGUGGCUGGUGCUGGAGACCUUACAGUGGAUGUGUUGGGAAACCUGUCUGGCUCAGGAUGAGAGUUUUUCUGCUCCUCUGUGCUGCACAGCAUUGGGGGAUCUGGAAGUCCUUCACACUCUGACCUUUAGGAAGUUGAAAUACCCAGUGCAGGGCUGUCAUUGAAAAAACCAGAAUUUCCUGCUUAAACUUAGUGAGGCGUACUUUUAUUUUCAUUUUGUAUUUAUAACCACUGGUUAAAAAUUGGGUCUUUUUAACCAUUACCUAAGCCUUUGUAUUUUAGUAAAAAACCCACCCUUUCUUUCUCAGUGAUGCUCUUUUGUAGUUAUGUGGGGAUAGUGUUGACUAGUAAUUAUUUGCUUGGUCAGACAGGUUAGUUUUCCUUCAAACUACAUAUUUCAUUUUAGCAGUGGCAACUUAAAUGGUUAUUUAGAGAAGAGCUGCAGAAGAUAGAAACUUCACAGAGGAGGGGAAGAAAAAAAAUCCAAAUAAUAAUAAAAAAAAAAAAAAAAAAAAAACCAACAAAAAAAAACCAUCACCACACACAAGUUGGAAGGGCUUAGAAUAAAUUAUUGCAUGUCAUUCUGUGGGAAAAUCUUCCCGUACGGAUGCUGUGUUGUUCACAAUGUGAGUGCCAGAUCCACUCAGCUCUGCUUUGCACUUCUGUCACCCUUAUCACUCAUGAGACGAUCCUCUUCUCCUGUAAGUGCUACCCCCAGUGGAGUGGAUUCAUUUAUAGGACUUGCCUGCUUGUGCUGAAGUCAGGCACCCAAGAGGCACAGGAUGAAUUGACAGUAUAGGCAGAUGCUUUCAGCAAAGGAACCAGGAUGUUAAAAGAGCUUUAUCGUGGUUAUUGUUUUGCCAGGCAAAUCCUUGUACUUGUCAUCAAGGUGUUCAGGAGUAUUUCAGCCUCGUCGUACAAGCUGAAUACAAGAGCUGUAAUCAAGAGUUACAUCAUUUGGUGAGACAAGACCUUGAGGAAUACAGCAGAGGGAAAUGUGCAUAAUUAGAGCAGUUCAGUUACAAGGGAAAGGGGCUUUGAUAGUGUUAGAAAUGCAGCUGAAACAUGCAGCCUCCAUUGCCCUGUCAUCAGGCAUUAGAUGGUAGAUGUCAGCGGGCCAGGGGGAUCUCAGGAUCCAGUGAAGGAGUGUGGGGUUCCCUCUUUGUAUCUUUCCAACGCUCAGGAAAACAUCUGAAGUGGCCAUCUGCUGAGCCACAUCUCCUUCUCCAUUUGUGGACAAACACCAAACCAGAGAUUAAAAAGAGUCUCUAACUAAAAAAAAAAAAAAAAAAAAUUAAAAGGCAGUUUGUUUUGAUAGCUUUUCUCAGAAAAGAAUGCUGAGAAAUAGGAGCACGACCAAUUCCUCUGCCACCUCAAAAUUCCUGUAAAGGAAGAGGCUGACAUGAAGAGGGGCCAGACGUGGUGACAGGGAACAUGUCGUGGGUCGUCAAACGCCUUGGGGCCAAUGCGCUUCCCAUGGUGAUUUCCACACUGACAAAGUUGCCAAAAUCCUUCCUAGAAAUUUCACAUGGGGGAAUUAAAAAAAAAACAACUUUAGUGACACCCGUUCUAAGUAUGCAACAUCCAGCCUGCUUUAUUUAGAUUUUUCACAAAAUAUUUAUCACUGCCAUAGUGAUAUCUAUCCUAAAAAAAGAGACCAUGUUUCGAAGCAAUUUGACCUUCUCUAGACCCUAUCCAGAGACAUCUCUAUUCUUACACGUGUAUUAUUGGCAAAUGUUUUGAAUUUUUGAGUUUGUAGAGGAAAAUGUUCAACAUCUCAGGGAUUCUUCAGGCAUGGGAGACUGCUUUCCACCCACCACCGGGUAGGUUACCAGACAAUACUAAUGUUUAGGUAUCAAGUAUGUUGUAGCUAUCCCUGGAUGUUGAGUGAAUUAAUUACAUUGCUCCUCUUUGCCUGUUCAUUAUUCUAUUUUUUAUGAGGCAAAGCUUGCUGGUGAGGCAGUGUGUCAGUGGGGCACUUCCAAGGAACACCACUCAGGGAGCACUGAAGGAAAGAUUUCAGCUCUGAUGCUCUUCCAAGACAUCAGCACCAACUGGCAUCCCUGGCAUUCAUCUUUUGGAUGAGACUAUGGCUGGAAUCGUCUCUCUCAAAGCAAACACUGCAGCUGGACACUGCAGGUGCUUGGUGUAAAUGUCAUCGUGUUCUUGGCUGGAGUCUUUGCUGGGCCCAAAGGCAAAGCAUAAUAUCAAAUGACUGCUACAAUUUUCAGUCUGGGACAUCUCUUGACCCGUGUGCACAGAUGAUGAACAAUUUCUCCUUUCUGAGUUGGCUUCUUUGCCUCCUGGUGCAGAAGUUGUCCUGAAAGCAUGCCAGGAACCUAAGUCAUAGAGAAGUGCUCUGGAACUGGAGUGAGAACGACAUGCUUGAUGAAACAUGUCAAGCUACAUUAUAUUGUAGGUGAAGCAGGACAGGAAUUCUGUCUCAGACAUGGGAAGUGUCCUUUCCAAGCAUAUAAGGAAGUCUUAAGCAGGUUCACUCCACAUGGAAUCUCUGUAUUUUUAUGACAUGUACAGUUGGUUGUAAUGCCAUACUGGGUAUCAUGUACAACAUCAAAGAGCUAAAUCAUCCUCCAUUCUCUGCAAAGGAUGGUUUUUACUGCAGGGGAGAAUCAAAGGUGAGAGCUAAAAAUGUCCUCACCUGUUUGCUUCAAAAGUUAGAUGACAAUGGUGCAUGAUGCACAGAAUUGCAGAAAAAGAAAGGAAGAGUGGGUUUUCAGGUGUGCAAAUGGCCCUUGAAGUCAAUAUGCCAUUAAGAUCCUGGAAAUCUGUGAACAUUUUGUGUCUGUAAGAAAACUCUGCAUUCAGACUGGAUGAAGGGCCCAUGAAGGUUGACCAAGAACUCUUCUCUUGGAGGAAUUUUUCCUGAUGACUUUUCCAGCAGCUGUUUCCCAUGGCUAUUCCAGAGAUGAGAAAGUUGCUGGAGAGAGAUCACCUGGAGGCUCUGGGAUUUUCUUCUGAAGUCAUUCUGAAUUAGCUGCUAAUGGGGAGCUUUCUUUGAUAGCUCUUUUAUAAUUAAAUGCAGCUGGAUGGAAAUCAACCACAAAGGGAACUCAAGUUUGUUUAUCAUUACUUCUGACUUUGUUAGCAGAUGUUUUCUGAGUACCGUGGUAGCUUGUUUAAUUUGUCUCCGUGUAAUGUGAAGCAGGUAAACUUUGAUUAAUAAACUGACAAGUACAUUCCUUAAUUUAUUUUAGAAGUUUCCAUCUAUGGCUGUUAUAGCACAUGUGCCAAAUCCCAAAAGGAAGAAAAUAACUGUUUGUGUUUGAUUUUUACUGUUAUUUCUAAGUCUAAGGCCAGAUGAAAACGUGCUUGUUGGUAACACAGCCUUCACCUUUAAUGGACACAACCACCAGCAAACUUCUGCCAUGUGUGAAAACUGCACGUUACGUUUCCCACUGGGCUAUUCUGUGUUAAUUUAUGAACAAGAAUUCACCUUGGUUUACAGGUUGUUUAUUUUUCCUAUUAAUUCCAUUGGAAAUACCCUCUAUUUUUGGGCUUAGUAUGUUCCCACCCUCACUAAUUGUGGUGGAUGACUGUAUGCCCUCAGUCAUGAGUGUGUAAUUUAUAUUUGAUGCUGUCAGUAAACAGUUAUCUUAGAAAAAAUGCUUAAAUGCAAGUAUAAACAACUGAACUUGAAUGCUUAAAUGCAUUUUUUCCUAAGUAAGACAUCUACAUAUAUGUGUGAAAUUCAAAAUCCUGGCUGGAGCUUUUUUUGCUGUGCAGAUUGAGUGUCCAGUGCUUUAACUGAAUUAUCUGAAAAUCCUGCAGUGUUCCAAGCAACAUUUUAAAUUAAAUAGAUGGUCCACUUCCUGCAAAGUGUUUCAGAUUAACAUCUCGGGGAUAGUUACUAAAACUGCAUAGGAAAUACAUAUGCAGCAGUUGGUUCCCAUACAUAAGAUGAACAGCUUCUUUCUUAUCUUCCUUUCUGUACUGCAUGUUUUCCUUCUUUCUCUCUCUCAUUUAUCUGCUUCUAAUCUGCAAGAAAAUUAUUUCUGCCUCUGUCUAGCCUGAUCUUCUACAUUGCAGAGCUGACCCUACCUCAAUUUGUAGCGUUUAUUCACUGCUCUUUAUUUUUUUUUUUAAUUUUUUUUUUUUUUUUUAAUCUGCCCUUUCUAACAGCGAGGACUGGGACAUCUGCUUCACAUCACGGUGUGAAGUGUGAAGCAUCAGGUUUUUGUAGCUGUCCCACUAUUAAGGGAAGGCUGCCCUCCUCACCCUGGCCCGUGUCAAGGCCACUUCGCUGGGCUCUGCACACCUGAUUUGGGCACUGCUCGUUGCUGGCUGGGGCUGUGGAAAUGAGAGGUUUAGAAAUGGAAGGGUUGAGGGGAAAACCAGCAUUGGAUUCACAGGCUGCCAGGGGCUAGGGCAGAGCUGGGACCACCUCGUGUCCAGGUGAGAUAAAAUUGCAAUACCUCAGCCCAGCUACCAGUUUGUGCUGCCAUUCCUGCUGGAUAUUUCUAGUCUUCAGAGAGAGCCAGGAUAAUUUCUGAAUACUUGGUGUCCCGCUCAAUUUUUGGUACUUAAAUCUCCAUGUUUAAAUUUACAACAGUUCUUUAUAUUUGUUAUAAACAACCUGUUUGUUGUUUCUCAUUCUGCAGCUUAAGAAGUUGCUUUUCAACAAUUGCUUUGUCAUUUUUUUAAACUAGCCUUAAUGAAUCAGAAAGAGAAUCGAGAAUAAUUCUUGUUUAUUUAGAGCAAACUUUGAAAUGAACCUUC